rnacentral:tRNA from 1 species
AGCAGAAUGGCCUAAUGGAUAGGGCACAGAAUUGGGAGUCAGAAGGACCUGGGUUCUAAUCCCAGUUUUGCCA